rnacentral:rRNA from 1 species
GAUGAACGCUGGCGGCGUGCCUAAUACAUGCAAGUCGAGCGAACAGACGAGGAGCUUGCUCCUCUGACGUUAGCGGCGGACGGGUGAGUAACACGUGGAUAACCUACCUAUAAGACUGGGAUAACUUCGGGAAACCAGAGCUAAUACCGGAUAAUAUAUCCAACCGCAUGGUUCAAUAGUGAAAGACGGUUUUCCUUUCACUAAUAGAUGGACUCGCGUCGCAUUAGCUAGUUGGUAAGGUAACGGCUUACCAAGGCAACGAUGCGUAGCCGACCUGAGAGGGUGAUCGGCCACCCUGGAACUGAGACACGGUCCAGACUCCUAAGGGAGGCAGCAGUAGGGAAUCUUCCGCAAUGGGCGAAAGCCUGACGGAGCAAAGCCGCGUGAGUGAUGAAGGUCUUCGGAGCGUAAAACUCUGUGAUUAGGGAAGAACAAAUGUGUAAGUAACUAUGCACGUCUUGACGGUACCUAAUCAGAAAGCCACGGCUAACUACGUG